GGUGUCUGCAGGCGCGUGCUGCUGAUUUGGUCAGAGCCACUGCGCUUUGAGCGGGCUCGCCUGCGCUUUCCCCUCGGUAUUUCUUGCCGGGAUUGCUGCCCGCCUUUGGCUUUGUGUUCUCUGUGUUCUGGGGCCCGGAAAUUCUGCCUGAAGGAGGCUGAUCUCACCUCUGCGGGGGCAGACGCGAGGUGGAGUUAGCGACUUGGGGCUGGCGCAGAACGAUCUGAAGAGACUUCCUGGAUGUGGAGUGGCCACCUUUGUUUUGUUCCGAGUUUGUUGCAACCAUGUUUGGGAGAUUGACUCUUCCACAACUGCUUUUUGCUAGCAUCGUUGGAAUUGCUGGAGGAAUAUAUAUUUAUCAACCAAUAUAUGAGCAGUAUUCUAGAAAUCAGAAGGAAUUAAAAGAAAAGUUGAAAUUGGCACAAGAAUCAGAAGAGAAGAAAGCUGACUAGUAAGGGGAUCCAAAGA